UGGGGAAUUGUUCGCAAUGGGCGCAAGCCUGACGACGCAACGCCGCGUGGAGGAUGAAGAUCUUCGGGUCGUAAACUCCUUUCGAUCGAGACGAACGGCCUCCGGGUAAACAAUCCGGAGGAGUGACGGUACCGAGAGAAGAAGCCCCGGCUAACUCCGGGCCAGCAGCCGCGGUAAUACGGAGGGUGCAAGCGUUAUCCGGAAUCACUGGGUUUAAAGGGUGCGUAGGCGGCUUAGUAAGUCAGUGGUGAAAGGCUGUGGCUUAACCAUGGAAUUGCCAUUGAUACUGCUGAGCUUGAAUAAGGUUGAGGUUGGCGGAAUGUGACAUGUAGCGGUGAAAUGCUUAGAUAUGUCAUGGAACACCGAUUGCGAAGGCAGCUGACUGGACCUGCAUUGACGCUGAGGCACGAAAGCGUGGGGAGCGAA
rnacentral:rRNA from 1 species